rnacentral:lncRNA from 1 species
AAAAAAAUCGUAUAAAAGGAUAGAGAAAAGGCGAUGGAAAUCAGUCGAGUGAAAAUCUCCGACACGGUAACAACUGCAACGCACUAUUGUUACCAACUUCCUUCUUCAUCGUUUUAACCCGUUCGUAAUCAUGGUUAUCUAUGGCGACGUCCUGCUGUUGAUGGCUGAGUCGGGACUGGUGUACCGGUGGUGUAACGCCGCCUUACUAAACAAAAACAAAAAUCGAUUACUACACCACCAAGGUUCCAGAGUAUUAUGCCAAAACUUAUGAUGCCCCAAGCUACUACCGUACACCGAUCCCCGAAAAUCCUUGAUCUUCAUUAAAUUACGUGUACGUGAUAGCUGCCGUGGAGUUCAGGUUUUUAUGGAGGGUUUGAUGAUUGAGCUGUCUUGUUGUGGGUGUUUGGGGUGCAGUGGUUCGGGAGUGGGUGGUUUGAGAUGCGUUGAAAUGGAGCUUGUGCAGACUUUGUUGCUUAAUGAGUUUGUCCACCAGGGGGCAACUUUCAGGUUUUAUCAAAUUGGCAACAUAGCAAGCUUAUGCCGGUGACGUCAUUUCUGUUCUGUUGCGUUGCGCUGUCAGUUAUGGUGUUCGUCAUCAGUCAACAUUCUUCUUCACAAAUCUCCUCAAGCCUUUUCCCCGUACGUUUGUUGGCUAUCUGUUGGACGGAUUAAUGGCUUAGUGAAGUCAAGUUUUUUCAAGGCAGUCCAAUGUCUACUUGGACUUGUUGCAGCCCGCUGGUUAAUGGUAUGGAGAGCUGUUGUUUGAAGACCAUGCGCUGUUGUGAUGAGUUUCUGCAUGCAGUCUGUGAUGCCGGUGUUGGGAAAUGCUGCAUGCUGUCUGUAGAGUGUAGUGCUAGCAUUGAAUUUGAAGAACUUCCUUCCUCAACAAUUGAUUGUUUGGAACAUUCAUUUUUUAUUUGAAAGCUUAAGUUUCCAUAGUCAGUUACAUGUUUGAGUUUAUAUUUGGUGUGCAGUUCAUGUUCUGGUGGUUUUGUUGCAGCCAGCUGUUGAAAGGGAGCUAGUCAAAUUGAAUUGCUGGUUCUGGAAUCAAUCUACAUUCCUGGUGUCAUCGGAGUGUAACAGCUUCCAGCAACGUAAUCAUCUUGAAAUGGACUUAUGACAAUCUGAUGCAUCUGUCUUGGUGAUAAUGAUAAUCAACCUACUGCAUGCAGUCUAUGCAGCUGGUGUUCUCCAGAAAUAUUGAAGGAAGACUUGAAACACAGCUGCAGGAAUACUUAAAGAAAUGGAUGGUGAAAAUGUUCAGCGGUUUCGUAGUCUGAUUCCUGUUCAAGAUUUUAUCCUGAAUUGCGCUGAAUUCCUUUCAGUAACUGAUUCUGAUGGCAUCCGUUGCUGUUCCGUAAAAAUACGAGUUGAUAAAAAUUUAUUAUCCGAGUUGUGUUUCAUCCUGUGUAUGUAAUUGAACAUAUUGAUGUCUUUUUACUCUCCAAGAGAUGUUGCAACGAAAGUUAUAACUGUGGUCAUCCUAGAUGAUUGAAAUACCUCGAUCCUAAUUAGUUCAUUUACUUGAUAAUUGUGUUAGUUAAACUUGAAAUUUUUUGUUAAGCCUUGCAAAUAUGUUAUUGAAAUCUUGUUUUACAUUGAUUUAAAUAUUGCAAUAAAUAAAAAAACAACUAAG